rnacentral:lncRNA from 1 species
CAGUUUAUCAGUUGCUCAGAUUUAAGCAAUCUAUCAGUCUGUGUAGUCUAGGGAUUUGUAACUGAGAUGUUCUAAUUUCCUACGACUUUGGUGGUCCUUGUUCUUUAGUUCAGUUGGUGAUUUGAAAAUCUUGUGUGUAUUUUUAUGAAAACUCGAUCCAUGGAUCUAGGUACUUCCAUUAGGAGAAUGAAUGGUAGACCUUGAGUAUAUAUAUAUGUAUGUAUGUAUGUAUGUUCUUUUAUGAAAACUCGAUCCAUGGAUCUAGGUACUUCCAUUAGGAGAAUGAAUGGUAGACCUUGAGUAUCUAGGUCCACUUAGAGCUAAAUUUUAUGACACAUUUCUCUCUCUUUCUCUCUCUCUCCCUUGCUCUCGCUCUCGCUCUCUUGCUUGCGGGCUCACUCCCUCCCCCCC